rnacentral:rRNA from 1 species
CCUACGGUGAGCAGCAGUGGGGAAUAUUGGACAAUGGGCGAAAGCCUGAUCCAGCCAUGCCGCGUGUGUGAAGAAGGCCUUCGGGUUGUAAAGCACUUUCAGUGGGGAAGAAAGCCUUGGGGCUAAUACCCUCGAGGAAGGACAUCACCCACAGAAGAAGCACCGGCUAACUCCGUGCCAGCAGCCGCGGUAAUACGGAGGGUGCGAGCGUUAAUCGGAAUUACUGGGCGUAAAGCGCGCGUAGGCGGUCUGAUAAGCCGGUUGUGAAAGCCCCGGGCUCAACCUGGGAACGGCAUCCGGAACUGUCAGGCUAGAGUGCAGGAGAGGAAGGUAGAAUUCCCGGUGUAGCGGUGAAAUGCGUAGAGAUCGGGAGGAAUACCAGUGGCGAAGGCGGCCUUCUGGACUGACACUGACGCUGAGGUGCGAAAGCGUGGGUAGCAAACAGGAUUAGAUACCCGUGUAGUC